rnacentral:rRNA from 1 species
CACUGCCGAGAAAAGCCUCUAGAUAGAAAAUAGGUGCCCGUACCGCAAACCGACACAGGUAGUCAAGAUGAGAAUUCUAAGGUGAGCGAGCGAACUCUCGUUAAGGAACUCGGCAAAAUGACCCCGUAACUUCGGGAGAAGGGGUGCUCUUUAGGGUUAACGCCCAGAAGAGCCGCAGUGAAUAGGCCCAAGCGACUGUUUAUCAAAAACACAGGUCUCUGCUAAACCGUAAGGUGAUGUAUAGGGGCUGACGCCUGCCCGGUGCUGGAAGGUUAAGAGGAGUGGUUAGCUUCUGCGAAGCUACGAAUCGAAGCCCCAGUAAACGGCGGCCGUAACUAUAACGGUCCUAAGGUAGCGAAAUUCCUUGUCGGGUAAGUUCCGACCCGCACGAAAGGCGUAACGAUUUGGGCACUGUCUCAACGAGAGACUCGGUGAAAUCAUAGUACCUGUGAAGAUGCAGGUUACCCGCGACAGGACGGAAAGACCCCGUGGAGCUUUACUGUAGCCUGAUAUUGAAAUUCGGCACAGCUUGUACAGGAUAGGUAGGAGCCUUUGAAACGUGAGCGCUAGCUUACGUGGAGGCGCUGGUGGGAUACUACCCUAGCUGUGUUGGCUUUCUAACCCGCACCACUUAUCGUGGUGGGAGACAGUGUCAGGCGGGCAGUUUGACUGGGGCGGUCGCCUCCUAAAAGGUAACGGAGGCGCUCAAAGGUUCCCUCAGAAUGGUUGGAAAUCAUUCAUAGAGUGUAAAGGCAUAAGGGAGCUUGACUGCGAGACCUACAAGUCGAGCAGGGUCGAAAGACGGACUUAGUGAUCCGGUGGUUCCGCAUGGAAGGGCCAUCGCUCAACGGAUAAAAGCUACCCCGGGGAUAACAGGCUUAUCUCCCCCAAGAGUUCACAUCGACGGGGAGGUUUGGCACCUCGAUGUCGGCUCAUCGCAUCCUGGGGCUGUAGUCGGUCCCAAGGGUUGGGCUGUUCGCCCAUUAAAGCGGUACGCGAGCUGGGUUCAGAACGUCGUGAGACAGUUCGGUCCCUAUCCGUCGUGGGCGUAGGAAAUUUGAGAGGAGCUGUCCUUAGUACGAGAGGACCGGGAUGGACAUACCUCUGGUGUACCAGUUGUCGUGCCAACGGCAUAGCUGGGUAGCUAUGUGUGGAUGGGAUAAGUGCUGAAAGCAUCUAAGCAUGAAGCCCCCCUCAAGAUGAGAUUUCCCAACUUCGGUUAUAAGAUCCCUCAAAGAUGAUGAGGUUAAUAGGUUCGAGGUGGAAGCAUGGUGACAUGUGGAGCUGACGAAUACUAAUCGAUCGAAGACUUAAUCAA